GUCCCUCCCAGGAAGACACCAGCCGACGCCGCCUCCUGCUCCUCCUGCCUCGUCUUUGAGGGCCGUCCUGGGCAGCAGAUCGUCGGUCUCCUGCUCGCUGUGGACGUCGCCUCAUCAGCGCUCAUCUCUCAUUGAGCCAGCGGGUUAGCAGCAGCAGCCUCCACGGCAGCUGAGUGUGGGGGGUGAGAAACACACAUUUAGAUUCAGACAACGUGACUGCAUGCUACGAGAACCGCUACACGCCUGGACCCAGCAGCAGCAGCAGCAGCAGCAGCGCUGAUCCUGGAGAGAACCGGCUGCUGGAGCUUCCACAAACCAAGGUUUUGCACUGAAUAAACAGCCGGAAAUCCUGGAUUGAAGCACAAACACAUGGACGGACAGCUGAAAUAAUUCCUAAUUGGAGGUGAUGCUUUUCCUUUUCGGACGCUUGCAUAUCUAAAGUAGCAGCUAGUAACGGUGAAACCCCUGAGGUUUAACGGUGUGUGUGCAUACAGGUGAGCUAAGUGGACGUCUGCAGGGCGUCGGAUGAACAUGGGCGGGGCAGAGAGUUGGCAGAAAGUGGGCACUGCAGGGGUCCUACCCUUGGAUUACAGUUUAGCAGAUUAGAGCUAAGCAGCAGUCACCUUAAGCUCGGCAGCCUCAUGAAACCGGUGCCGGCGGCCAAUAGGGCGUGCCCAAACACAUCCACUCACAGGCUGACACAGCUGCAGCCACACAAUUAAAUUAGUGCAUCUGGCAGACGGUGUGUGAACCGAGCUUAACACACAUUCAAUCACAUGCACACACACACUCAUGCUGUGGGCUGCAGGACAGAUGCUUCCCCCACCCUUCCUCCCGACGUCCUCUCAAAGCCAGCUGGAGAGAAGAUGAGAUUUGGGGCUG
ensembl:lncRNA